AUUGAACGCUGGCGGCAGGCCUAACACAUGCAAGUCGAGCGGAUGAAUGGAGCUUGCUCCUGGAUUCAGCGGCGGACGGGUGAGUAAUGCCUAGGAAUCUGCCUGGUAGUGGGGGAUAACGUCCGGAAACGGGCGCUAAUACCGCAUACGUCCUGAGGUAGAAAGUGGGGGAUCUUCGGACCUCACGCUAUCAGAUGAGCCUAGGUCGGAUUAGCUAGUUGGUGGGGUAAAGGCCUACCAAGGCGACGAUCCGUAACUGGUCUGAGAGGAUGAUCAGUCACACUGGAACUGAGACACGGUCCAGACUCCUACGGGAGGCAGCAGUGGGGAAUAUUGGACAAUGGGCGAAAGCCUGAUCCAGCCAUGCCGCGUGUGUGAAGAAGGUCUUCGGAUUGUAAAGCACUUUAAGUUGGGAGGAAGGGCAGUAAGUUAAUACCUGGCUGUUUUGACGGUACCAACAGAAUAAGCACCGGCUAACUUCGUG
rnacentral:rRNA from 1 species